UACGUAGGGUGCGAGCGUUGUCCGGAAUUAUUGGGCGUAAAGAGCUCGUAGGCGGUCUGUCGCGUCGAUCGUGAAAACUUGGGGCUUAACCCUGAGCUUGCGGUCGAUACGGGCAUGACUGGAGUUCGGCAGGGGAGACUGGAAUUCCUGGUGUAGCGGUGAAAUGCGCAGAUAUCAGGAGGAACACCGGUGGCGAAGGCGGGUCUCUGGGCAGUAACUGACGCUGAGGAGCGAAAGCGUGGGGAGCAAACAGG
rnacentral:rRNA from 1 species